rnacentral:rRNA from 1 species
GACGGGGGAUGCAAGUGUUAUCCGGAAUCACUGGGCGUAAAGCGCCUGUAGGCGGUCAAAUAAGUCAACUGUUAAAUCUUGAGGCUCAACCUCAAAAUCGCAGUCGAAACUAUUAGACUAGAGUAUAGUAGGGGUAAAGGGAAUUUCCAGUGGAGCGGUGAAAUGCGUAGAUAUUGGGAAGAACACCGAUGGCGAAGGCACUUUACUGGGCUAUUACUAACACUCAGAGACGAAAGCUAGGGUAGCAAAUGGG